GACGAACGCUGGCGGCGUGCUUAACACAUGCAAGUCGAACGGAAAGGCCCCUUUGGGGGUACUCGAGUGGCGAACGGGUGAGUAACACGCGAGUAACCUGCCCUUGUGUUCGGGAGAACUUCAUGAAACUGGGGCUAAUACCGGAUAGAAAUCCUUGCUUCAUGGUGGGGGUUUGAAAGCUUCGGGGGUUUUGGAUGGACUCGCGGCUUAUCAGCUUGUUGGUGGGGGAGUGGCUUACCAAGGCUUUGACGGGUAGCCGGCCUGAGAGGGCGACCGGCCACAUUGGGACUGAGAUACGGCCCAGACUCCUACGGGAGGCAGCAGUGGGGAAUAUUGCACAAUGGGGGGAAGCCUGAUGCAGCAACGCCGCGUGCGGGAUGACGGCCUUCGGGUUGUAAACCGCUUUCAGCAGGGGCGAAGCUUGUGGUGACGGUACCUGCAGAAGAAGCACCGGCUAACUACGUG
rnacentral:rRNA from 1 species